GCUCCCUCCCAGAUGAAGAUUUUGAAACAGCUUUGUGAAGAAAUAAAAGAACCUUGAGAGCAACAAGAGUUCUUUCAGGCUGGACAUUAGGAAAAACACCUCCAAAAGAAUGGUUGGGCCCUGGACAGACUGCCCAGGGAGGGACUCCAGUCAGAUUCCCUAGAGGCGUUCAGGAAAUGUUUAGGUGUGUGUAUGGGAACUGCUAAGUCACGGCCUGAACCUCUGAUUGAUCACCUGAGGCGAGCCAUGAGUCAGCCAGAGGAGCACAGUGAAGGCAAUUCAGCUGUGCUGCCUGGCUCCACCCCUCCUAGACCUAUUUCAGAGCUGGCUGCCAGUGGGGAAGGAGCUCUUCUGGAGAUUGGUCCUGGUGGAGUUUUGUGAGUGAGCUCUGGAUAGGGGGAUCUAAAGGAGAGUGAGUUGAAAGGAAAAAGUCUCUCUAUGGCCUCACACUUAGCUACACCUUUCACAUGCUGCAAAACCGUGGGCUUUGCUCUGCCCUGUGUGUCAUUGGAAGAGAGCACAGCAUUGGAAAAUAAGGAUCUUAGAGGAAUGUGGCCUGACCCUGUCUGUCAGAGCCAAGGAGUCUUGGGAGAAUCCUUAUCAUCCCUCUUCAAGGAGAUGGCAUCAGAACGCUCGCAUAAUGAGAGCAAGAGGAGGUUCUAGUCUAUGUACACCUGAUGGCGAGAUUCAUACACAAAUAGUAGAUGUCAGACAG